CCUCUUUCUCCCACCCGCCGUCACCACCGGAUCACCCUCGAUCUUUCCCUCUUGUCCUCAUCCUCCGACCCAGACUGAAAAUCGCCCCAUUACUGUGGUCCCACUCCCCGAUCAUACCAAGAAAGAUUCACCAAUACUUGAGGAAUCACGAACCACCACAAGCUCUCCCUCGCUGUAGCGGCGCUCAUGUCAUCGAAUUUCUCUAAUAUCUAGACCGGUUCGGCAAAACCAACAUUCACUCUUCUUCUUGCCCUUACUUCUCUAACCCCAACCCUCCAGUCCCUUAUUCUUGCCCUCUCCGCCAAGCCUGGGGGUUCUCUCGACACUCUCAUCGGCCGUCUCUGUGCCGCCUUCGAGGAAUUCGGUGGCCAUCUUGAAUCCAACCCUUCGCCGCCAGCACUGUCUGCAUCUAUCUCCGUGAGGUCUGUGAAACCCAAGCUCACGCUCAUGGCAUCCCUUACGAGAAGAAGAAGAAGCUCGCGCUCGUUUAACUCCAUAUGAAAGAUUAAAAAGAUUAAUCAUUGAAAGAAAAAAAAUAGCUUUAUUUUGCAGUGCUUUCAGCUGUGAGUGGGAUCAAAGAAAAGACAACUUCACUAAGCACUGGUGCUAUUGAUAGAAUUGAUGUGGCAAUCUUAAUUGUGCUCUUCUUAGCUCAACGAUUCGGCAUAGACAAAGUUGGCUACUCAUUUGCGUUGAUAAUAUCACUCUGGUUCACUUUUAUUGGUCUUAUAGGAGCAUACAACUUGAUCAAGUAUGAUAUCCAUGUUCUUCGUGCAUUCACCCCCAAAUAUAUCGUGCAACAAGGGUGGAUUUAUCUAGGAGGAAUUAUUCUUUGCAUUACAAGUAGUUACUUAUAUAUAAAACUAUUAGUUACUUUCCUAGUACUCACAAAGGUGAAAAAUUCUUCAACAGGGACUGAGGCUAUGUUUGCUGAUCUUGGCCACUUCAAUAACAGAGCCAUUCAGGUUGGUGCAAUAACUUACAUUGCAGACUUUUGAUUUUGCAUUAGACUUCUGAGCAACAGAGGAACUACUCGAAAAAGGAAACCGCAGGACGUAGAAGCCUUAAGCAAGAAUGAGAGGGAUGGGUCGUAGAAGCGGCUCCAAACAUAGAGGCUCAUUUGAUCAUGUAACACAUAAGGGUUCUCUUGCAGAUCAAGAGAAUCAGCGCAUUCAUGGUGAGCAUGAUAGUGAGACUUUUACAUCACCACCUGCUCCACAGCGAGUUAUUUCUGCACCCGUUGUAUUACACUGUCCAUUGGUAUCAUCGGCUGGCAAUGCAUUUGUUGGAUCAUCAUCAUUAUCUAUUUCUACUCCUUGUCAUAGGGGAGGCACUACUCCUGAUAAUAGAUCUAUUGAUCCUACUAUAGAGAACCCAUGAAACAUGGAUAGAUUGGCUCAUGGUAUUAUCUUGGGGAAGCCUCGUAUGCAUCUUGUUAACGGAGUGUUACAUCCUUCUGAUAUUUGUGCGCGAAGAAUCACAUCUAUCUUUAAGGAAAGAGUUGAUGAGAAUGGCUAUUGUUGGAAGAAUUUUUCUAAGGAAACGAAGAAGUUCUACUGGAAUGA